AUAUAUAUAUAUAUAUAUAUAUAUAUAUAUAUAUAUAUAUAUAUAUAUAUAUAUAUAUAUAUAUAUAUAUAUACGUGUCAUAAACGUAUGCAAGAGUUAAAUCCGACUGCAUUUGAUCACACCGUAGACUUCAGUAAUAAUACCCAAGACGCAUGUGCUGCUCGUAGGAAGUUCCCCUUUAAAACGCGAAGUACGCAUGCGUCAUGUUCUUUCUUGCCAAGCGUGGAAGGAUGAGCUGGUUGCAAGUCGCAGUAUAACUUGAGGAGCCAGAUGAUUGCUGCAGCCAAUGGAAGGGAUCAUGGCAUUUGCCACUGGAAAUGGGUGACAUGAGAAGUGCAGAGUAAUAAAAACGAGUAACUUUAAAAUGGGUACAAGGGUCGCCACUCAGAAAACCGUGACCUGAAAAGUGCAGAUGAAUUUAAAAUGGUUGCAUAGGUUUCCACAAAAUUCAAGAUCUGUCUGUGGGAGUCUUCCAGCACAAGGUCCCUCUGGUGUGAGGAGUCCAGGUCACGGAGAGCACAGGGAAAUGCCGCAUUGGGUGGAAAAACAAGCGCAGAGGCCCCUGCAUUCCCAAGACCAACUUUUCUAAUUUCCAAACUCUGGAACAUGCACUCACCGAAACGGGAGCUUGAUCCUAACUAUAAACUAGUAAUGAUGUGCUGAAAGGUGAAUGGGUUAUGAUUAACAUUAUUGAAAUAAAUUCUUAUUGAAACAUUUAUUUUUGUAUCCAUUUGUUCAGGAUUUAGAAAAAUAUGGGAGAACUAACCGUGUUUUAGGGUGACUGAACUUUCGCCCAGCAAAACUGCAAUGACUACAUCUUCCUCUAGAACUUGUGUUCUUUGACUGAGUUUAGCAUGAGCCCUGGCCAGAACCAGAAAAAGGUCAUGUGUAUGAAAUGGUCAUAUUUCUACUUGUAUUGUGUGCUGCUUCAUCCGCAUAAUCGAAGAUUAAUACAUUUAGAUAAUUAUUUUUAGAUUUGUAUGUUCAUUAGCUAAAUAUUAAAGUUUUGGAAAAGACCAGCUCUAAAUAAACUGACAUCGUAUGUAAAUUUAAUUAAAAAAAAAAUAAAAAAUAGUUCAGUCCUUUUGGAAACUCCGUGCUGGAUUUGUAGACUUGUUAUAUAACUGCUCCAUCUAGUGGUAUAAAUCAGGCAUUCAUAUAUAGCUGUGGGUAUUUUGUUUUUGUAGCACUUACAUCAGUUUGACAGUGACUGAAACUGGAUCUCUCUGAGUCUGAACAAACCCUGUGACUGCCCAUGUAAUGGCUGUGGAUCAUCCUUUCAGCCUCUGGAUAAAUGUCCACCUUUAGUUGCCUUGCAUGAGCCAAGAGCUGGGGGUGUGGGGGGAAACAGUACUUCAGUACUAACCACAUUAUGCAAAUUACUCAAGAUCUCUAGAAGUUUCAAACAACCAAAGAAACUGCACCCCAAUUACAGUUUAUCAUAUACUACUGGUAAAACGUUUGGAAUAAAGCUUUUGUGUUUUAUAAAAGUAUUAAGCUAACAAAGGCGGUUUAUUUGAUCAAAAUACAGUAAAAGCAGUAUUAUUGUGAAAUAUCAUUACAGUUAAACGAGUUGUGAUGAUCCUUCAUAAAGGAACUCAAUAUUAAUAUAAGAUAAAUGUUCCCUGAGCAAGAGUCAGAAAGCCUAUCAGAAUAAUUUUAGCUGAAUGAAAGAACUUUUGACUUGUAUUGUGCAUUAUCUGACCUUU
ensembl:lncRNA